rnacentral:misc_RNA from 1 species
AACGCACAUUGCGCCCUUUGGCAUUCCUUAGGGCACGCCUGUUCGAGCGUCAUCUCCACCCUCAAGCACAGCUUGGUGUUGGGCGUCCUGUCCGCGCCUCCCGCGCGCGGACUCGCCCCAAAUCCACUCGGCGGCCGGCACCCCAGGCUUCGAGCGCAGCAGAGCAGCGCCCCGUGCCUGGUAGCACCGGCCCCCCGGAAGCACGCCGUAGAGCACCCCAAUCUGACCUCGAAUCAGGCGGGAGUACCCGCUGAACUUAA